UACGUAGGGUGCAAGCGUUGUCCGGAAUUAUUGGGCGUAAAGAGCUCGUAGGCGGUUUGUCGCGUCUGCUGUGAAAGCCCGGGGCUCAACCCCGGGUCUGCAGUGGGUACGGGCAGACUAGAGUGCAGUAGGGGAGACUGGAAUUCCCAGUGUAGCGGUGAAAUGCGUAGAUAUUGGGAGGAACACCAGUGGCGAAGGCGGUCCCCUGGGCCGGAACUGACGCUGAGGCGCGAAAGCGUGGGUAGCAAACGGG
rnacentral:rRNA from 1 species